GGGAUUGCCUUAGUAACUGCGAGUGAAGCGGCAAAAGCUCAAAUUUGAAAUCUGGUACCUUCGGUGCCCGAAUUGUAAUUUGGAGGCAUAUCUUCGGGGCUGGCGCUGUCCUAAGUUCCUUGGAACAGGACGUCAUAGAGGGUGAGAAUCCCGUGCCUGGAUGGCUGACCAGCUCCAUGUGAAGUGUGUCCUACGAGUCGAGUUGUUUGGGAAUGCAGCUCAAAAUGGGUGGUAAAUUUCAUCUAAAGCUAAAUAUUGGCGAGAGACCGAUAGCGCACAAGUAGAGUGAUCGAAAGAUGAAAAGCACUUUGAAAAGAGAGUUAAAAAGUACGUGAAAUUGUUGAAAGGGAAGCGCUUGCGACCAGACUCAAUCUUAGGUGAUCAACUGGGCUUCUGUUCAGCGCCAUUGCCUUUGAUUGGGCCAGCAUCAGUUUUGACGGUGGGAUAAAAGUUAGAGGAAUGUGGCUUCCUUUUGGAAGUGUUAUAGCCUCUUUCAUAAUGCCACCAGUUGGGACUGAGGACCGCGCUUCGGCUAGGAUGCUGGCGUAAUGGUCUUAAGCGACCCGU
rnacentral:rRNA from 1 species